GUGAGGAGGUGGAAGGCGAGUCGGUAAGGGCAUAUGGCUACCAACCUUAAGGUUGCGGGUUCGAUUCCCACCCUUCACA